rnacentral:rRNA from 1 species
CUGCAGCUGCUAGCACAUGCAGGUCGAGCGAGUGGGGGCGACAGCAUUAGUGGCGGACGGGUGAGAGACGCGUAGGUAUCUAUCCUUGGGUGGGGGAUAGCUGUGGGAGAAGACAAGUAAUACCGCAUAGUCCCUGAGGGGAGAAGGCGCAAGUCGCCUGAGGAGGAGCCUGCGUCCGAUUAGCUAGUUGGUGGGGUAAAGGAGCUACCAAGGCUGCGAUCGGUAGCUGGGCUGAGAGGAUGAUCAGAGACACUGGGACUGAGACACGGCCAAGACUCCUACGGGAGGCAAGAGUAGGGAAUAUUGGACAGGUAGGCGCAGGCCUGAUCCAAGAAUGCCGGGUGGGUGAAGAAGGUCUUCGGAUUGUAAAGCCCUUUCGGCGGGGACGAUGAUGAGGGUAACCGCAGAAGAAGCCGCGGCUAACUUCGUGCCAGCAGCCGCGGAUAU